GCUUCUUUUGGAAUCGAGUGGCNAACGGGUGAGUAACACGUAAACAACCUGCCUUCAGGAUGGGGAUAACAACGGGAAACCGUUGCUAAUACCGCGUACGAAUGAACUUCGGCAUCGGAGCUCAUUGAAAGGUGGCCUCUAUUUAUAAGCUAUCGCUGAAGGAGGGGGUUGCGUCUGAUUAGCUAGUUGGAGGGGUAACGGCCCACCAAGGCAAUGAUCAGUAGCCGGUCUGAGAGGAUGAACGGCCACAUUGGGACUGAGACACGGCCCAAACUCCUACGGGAGGCAGCAGUGGGGAAUCUUCCGCAAUGGACGAAAGUCUGACGGAGCAACGCCGCGUGAGUGAUGACGGCCUUCGGGUUGUAAAGCUCUGUUAAUCGGGACGAAUGGUCCUUGUGUGAAUAAUGCAAGGAUUUGACGGUACCGGAAUAGAAAGCCACGGCUAACUACGUGCCAGCAGCCGCGGUAAUACGUAGGUGGCAAGCGUUGUCCGGAAUUAUUGGGCGUAAAGCGCGCGCAGGCGGUUUCAUAAGUCUGUCUUAAAAGUGCGGGGCUUAACCCCGUGAGGGGAUGGAAACUAUGGAACUGGAGUAUCGGAGAGGAAAGCGGAAUUCCUAGUGUAGCGGUGAAAUGCGUAGAUAUUAGGAAGAGCACCAGUGGCGAAGGCGGCUUUCUGGACGACAACUGACGCUGAGGCGCGAAAGCCAGGGGAGCGAACGGGAUUAGAUACCCCGGUAGUCCUGG
rnacentral:rRNA from 1 species